rnacentral:tRNA from 5 species
GCCGAUGUAGCUCAGUUGGUCAGAGCAGCUGAUUUGUAAUCAGCAGGUCGGGGGUUCGAAUCCCUCCAUCGGCU